UACGAAGGGUGCAAGCGUUAAUCGGAAUUACUGGGCGUAAAGGGUGCGUAGGCGGUUGUUUAAGUCUGUCGUGAAAUCCCCGGGCUCAACCUGGUAAUGGCGAUGGAUACUGGGCAGCUAGAGUGUGUCAGAGGAUGGUGGAAUUCCCGGUGUAGCGGUGAAAUGCGUAGAGAUCGGGAAGAACAUCAGUGGCGAAGGCGGCCAUCUGGGACAACACUGACGCUGAAGCACGAAAGCGUGGGGAGCAAACAGG
rnacentral:rRNA from 1 species